ACAUUGCCCAGAGCUGGUGGGGAUGGAUAAACCUCACCAGACCCUAAACCUGAUCCUAAACAUCUCCCAGAGCUGGUGAGGGUGGAGAAACCCCAGCAGAUCCCAAACCAGAUCCUAAACCUGAUCCCAAAGAGUCCCCAGAGCUGGUGGGGAUGGGUAAAACCUCACCAGAUCUUAAACCAGAUCCCAAACAUCCUCCAGAGCUGGUGGGGAUGGGUGAGGGAUGGAUAAACCCCAGCA
rnacentral:lncRNA from 1 species